AAACCAACAGGGAUUGCCUCAGUAACGGCGAGUGAAGCGGCAAAAGCUCAAAUUUGAAACCCUCGGGAUUGUAAUUUGAAGAUUUGGCAUUGGAGAAAGCUAACCCAAGUUACUUGGAAUAGUACGUCAUAGAGGGUGACAACCCCGUCUGGCUAACCGUUCUCCAUGUAUUGCCUUAUCAAAGAGUCGAGUUGUUUGGGAAUGCAGCUCAAAGUGGGUGGUAAACUCCAUCUAAAGCUAAAUACUGGUGAGAGACCGAUAGCGAACAAGUACUGUGAAGGAAAGGUGAAAAGAACUUUGAAAAGAGAGUGAAAUAGUAUGUGAAAUUGUUGAUAGGGAAGGAAAUGAGUGGAGAGUGGUUUAGGUUUCAGCCUUCUUUCGAGGGGGUGCACUACCAACGCCGAGUCAUUGAUAGCGAGACAGGGGUUAUAAACGGACGGCACUUGUGCUAUUCUCCUAACCCCUCUACUGCCACCAACGACAUAAUCCACCCAUUUCAC
rnacentral:rRNA from 1 species